rnacentral:rRNA from 1 species
ACUGUUGCCUCGGCGGGGUCACGCCCCGGGUGCGUAAAAGCCCCGGAACCAGGCGCCCGCCGGAGGAACCAACCAAACUCUUUCUGUAGUCCCCUCGCGGACGUAUUUCUUACAGCUCUGAGCAAAAAUUCAAAAUGAAUCAAAACUUUCAACAACGGAUCUCUUGGUUCUGGCAUCGAUGAAGAACGCAGCGAAAUGCGAUAAGUAAUGUGAAUUGCAGAAUUCAGUGAAUCAUCGAAUCUUUGAACGCACAUUGCGCCCGCCAGUAUUCUGGCGGGCAUGCCUGUCCGAGCGUCAUUUCAACCCUCGAACCCCUCCGGGGGAUCGGCGUUGGGGAUCGGGACCCCUCACCGGGUGCCGGCCCUGAAAUACAGUGGCGGUCUCGCCGCAGCCUCUCCUGCGCAGUAGUUUGCACAACUCGCACCGGGAGCGCGGCGCGUCCACGUCCGUAAAACACCCAACUUCUGAAAUGUUGACCUCGGAUCAGGUAGGAAUACCCGCUGAACUUAAGCAUAUCAAUAAGCGGA